CUGACGCAGCGACGCCGCGUGAGUGAUGAAGGCCUUCGGGUCGUAAAGCUCUGUCAUGAGGGAAGAAAAAAAUGACGGUACCUCAUGAGGAAGCCCCGGCUAACUACGUGCCAGCAGCCGCGGUAAU
rnacentral:rRNA from 1 species